AAGCAGACUCCAUUCGAAUGUCUCCUCUUUUUGAGUCUCUGGUCCCUGAAAAGGAGAGAUGCUGUUUCUCCGAAGCAAACCAGGAAUGGCUCCCAUGAUUAUGGAGGCCAAGAAGUUCCAGAAUGGGCUGUCUGCAAGCUGGAGACCCAGGAGCCAGAGAUGUGAUUCAGUCUGAAUCCAAAGGCCUCAGAAAAAAGUGCACUGGUGUCUGAGGGCAUGAGAAGAUGGAUACCCCAGCUCAAAAAGAGAGCCAAUUCGCCCAUCCUCUGCCUUUCUAUUCUAUUCAGGCCCUCUGUGGACUGGAUGAUGCCCACCAGCACCAGUGAGGCCCUCCUUGCUCAGUGCACCGAUUCCAACACUGACCACUUUGAGAAACACCCUCCGAGACACAGCCCCGGCAUAAUAUGUUACCAGCUCUCUGGGCGUCCAGAGUCCAGUCACGUGGACGCAGGAAAUCAGCCCUCGCGGGCACCUCUGGAGUAGAGAUUACAGGACGAGGAGAGAAGCCAGUGGCAAAGGGGCAGACGAAGGAUCUGAACACACAGAGUCCGA